GAUUACUUUGCAGGCUGUCAUGCUGAGACUUUCUCCAGGAGCUGGGGCAGAGUGCUGAUAUUUUUAUAGCAGCAGAGUGUGCCAGAGGCCAGCAGCUGCUCAGGACAAGCCCUCUCUUUCCGCUGCCCUGGACACUGCUAAAAUGAAUAGUGCAGAAAAUCACUCCUGAGAUCUGGAAACUCAUCUUUUUCCAUGGAAGGCACUGCUACGCUG
rnacentral:lncRNA from 1 species